rnacentral:rRNA from 1 species
AACGAACGCUGGCGGCAGGCCUGACACAUGCAAGUCGAGCGAGGACUUCGGUCCUAGCGGCGGACGGGUGAGCAACGCGUGGGAACGUACCCUUUGCUACGGAAUAGCCCCGGGAAACUGGGAGUAAUACCGUAUGUGCCCUCUGGGGGAAAGAUUUAUCGGCAAAGGAUCGGCCCGCGUUGGAUUAGGUAGUUGGUGGGGUAAUGGCCUACCAAGCCGACGAUCCAUAGCUGGUUUGAGAGGAUGAUCAGCCACACUGGGACUGAGACACGGCCCAGACUCCUACGGGAGGCAGCAGUGGGGAAUCUUAGACAAUGGGGGCGAACCCUGAUCUAGCCAUGCCGCGUGAGUGAUGAAGGCCCUAGGGUUGUAAAGCUCUUUCAGCUGGGAAGAUAAUGACGGUACCAGCAGAAGAAGCCCCGGCUAACUCCGUG